rnacentral:rRNA from 1 species
UGGGAACGCGAAGAACCUUACCUAGACUUGACAUCUCCUGAAUUACCCUUAAUCGGGGAAGCCCUUCGGGGCAGGAAGACAGGUGGUGCAUGGUUGUCGUCAGCUCGUGUCGUGAGAUGUUGGGUUAAGUCCCGCAACGAGCGCAACCCUUAUUGUUAGUUGCUACCAUUUAGUUGAGCACUCUAGCGAGACUGCCCGGGUUAACCGGGAGGAAGGUGGGGAUGACGUCAAAUCAUCAUGCCCCUUAUGUCUAGGGCUACACACGUGCUACAAUGGCUGGUACAGAGAGAUGCUAAACCGCGAGGUGGAGCCAAACUUUAAAACCAGUCUCAGUUCGGAUUGUAGGCUGAAACUCGCCUACAUGAAGCUGGAGUUGCUAGUAAUCGCGAAUCAGAAUGUCGCGGUGAAUACGUUCCCGGGUCUUGUACACACCGAGUCUUGUACACACCGGGUCUUGUACACACCG